rnacentral:lncRNA from 1 species
GCGAACAAAGAAAAAGGACAGACGAAAAUGAGAGAAAAUCGAGGGAGAAAGGGAAGAAAAAAUGUGGAAAAUUUUUUAGGAAGAACAUGAGCCAGGGUUGACUAUUGGAUGGGGGGUUUCGUGGUCAUCUUUCGAUCUCUGUAGAGCCCCUUUGGAGCAGGUGUUGCUUUCUAGGUAAUCUAUGAUGAUCAAGGAAUAAGAUUGGUGUUGAAAACUUUUGGAAAAAACCGCUGCAACAUCUUCAAAUUUGGGCUUGAACUUGCUGCCUUCGUCAUCCUUAAAAUUUCCGUAGCAAAGAUC